AAGACUUCACCUCCAGUGUCUAUCUCUUUCAAUUUCCAUCUUCCAAAUUUCUUCUUAACAGAAAGAGAGUACUGGCAAUAUAGCAGAAAUGGCUGAAGAGGCUACAGUUAUGAAAGAGUUCUGCAUAUAGGAAUGUGUGUGUCAAGAGAGUUACUUUGGGAGCUUCCAGAUCCAAAGAAGAGCUGACCCUGUACCACUACAUAGCCACGUGGGCUGCACAUGGGCAACCUUCCACCUCGAGUUGGCCUUAUUGGUUCUAUCAUCUGUAGAACUUCCCUGCUUAUUGAAUACUGCAAUUUUAUCAUCUGGUUCUUAUCUAUUCAUUCUCUAUCACACUAAGUCUCUUGGGGGUGAGGAACAGUUCUAGUCAUAAUGUUAUUUGCCCACUACCACCAUCCUGGUGUCAGUGUUAAAUAGAAAUGAAUGUCCUAACUUCCUGGGAAAGCCCCAGGCUUUUGGGAGGGGAGGGGAUGAAAAGUGGCUACAUUUGAAAGUCAUUCCUCUCCCUAUUAGUUAUUGCUAAUUAAAUAAAAUUACUGUUAUAAAUU